GGACCUAGCGGCGGACGGGUGAGUAAUGCUUAGGAAUCUGCCUAUUAGUGGGGGACAACAUCUCGAAAGGGAUGCUAAUACCGCAUACGUCCUACGGGAGAAAGCAGGGGAUCUUCGGACCUUGCGCUAAUAGAUGAGCCUAAGUCGGAUUAGCUAGUUGGUGGGGUAAAGGCCUACCAAGGCGACGAUCUGUAGCGGGUCUGAGAGGAUGAUCCGCCACACUGGGACUGAGACACGGCCCAGACUCCUACGGGAGGCAGCAGUGGGGAAUAUUGGACAAUGGGGGGAACCCUGAUCCAGCCAUGCCGCGUGUGUGAAGAAGGCCUUAUGGUUGUAAAGCACUUUAAGCGAGGAGGAGGCUACUUUAGUUAAUACCUAGAGAUAGUGGACGUUACUCGCAGAAUAAGCACCGGCUAACUCUGUGCCAGCAGCCGCGGUAAUACAGAGGGUGCGAGCGUUAAUCGGAUUUACUGGGCGUAAAGCGUGCGUAGGCGGCUUAUUAAGUCGGAUGUGAAAUCCCCGAGCUUAACUUGGGAAUUGCAUUCGAUACUGGUGAGCUAGAGUAUGGGAGAGGAUGGUAGAAUUCCAGGUGUAGCGGUGAAAUGCGUAGAGAUCUGGAGGAAUACCGAUGGCGAAGGCAGCCAUCUGGCCUAAUACUGACGCUGAGGUACGAAAGCAUGGGGAGCAAACAGGAUU
rnacentral:rRNA from 1 species